GCCUGUCCUACAGAACCAAGCUGCAGGAUCUCCAUGACACAGGGUAACAACAGGAUAUCACAGAGGAGUCCCAACGAGGAUCCAGUAUUAAUAGUGUAGCAGAAGCCAGAGGCCUUGAACCAGACCAAUGACUCAUUGCAAUGAAUAUUUGCAAGCAAAGCUAUUUGGGCAAAAGGGUAAACUCUGCAAUACACAGUGAGAUUUAUUUAUUUAUUGUUGUCUUUAGUGGGAGAGAUUACAACGGUAAAGGGAGGAUAUGAAGGGAUAGGGAGAUGAGCGGGAUUGAGGUGUAUGAUGUGAAGUUCACAAAGAAUCAAUAAAAAGUAAAAAAAAAAAUGUCAGAACAUAGAUAAAUGACUUAAUGAUACAAAACAAAUCAGAACCCAGUUGACAACAAGAAAUAAUAAAAAAAAUCAGAGCAUAAAUUAAUGAAAUACAAAGAAAACAAUACAAACAAAAAAAUCAUUGAAUUUAAAAGCUGGUUCUUCAAAAAGAUAAACAAAAUUAACAGAUCCUUGGGCUAACCAAAAUAGAAAACAAAUCUAGGUCCUAAGAACAUCUCACCAUGGCUUCAUGUAACUGUUUAGAUUGUAGUUCCUCUCCCUAAAAGUGACAAAUGUGUCCAGAUUCCUUUGCCAGGCAUGUGACAGUCAGUGUGAUCUUACCAGCUUUGUCCUCUAGGGCUGAGGUCCUUCCAUCUGCUCUGCCAGUUGUCCAACUCUAAUACCCUUGAAUUUUAUGACACAAAGGAUAUUCCACAAGACAGGGCAGGAGCCCAAAGACAAAAUGUCUGCUAAAGCAAAAAAAGAGGGAGGCAGUAUAAUUAGGGCAGAGUCUUCCUCACUCUCACUUCCUGGUGGGACCUCUCCUCCUUCUCUGGGGCUUUGAGAAACUGACUUUGGAGACCCUUGCUCCCCUCAGCUGUCUGUUUCCACCUUUUUGCCACCAUGGGUCGUUUAAUGACAGUCUGAGGAAUGUGUCACUAGAAGAUUGUAUCACAGUGCAAAUGUCACGAUGCAUUCUUACACAAGCCUGCAUGACCCCGCCUUUACAUCUCUGAUAUGUGAUAUAAUUAGCCUGUUGCUUCUGGGGUGGAAACAAUCAAAAGAAUCAGCAAAGGUACUGUUACUUUGUUACAACUGUUUUCUGUAUGUAUUUCUGUGCAUCUAUAUAUUUUAUAUAAACUUUUUUUUAAGACAGGAUCUCAUUCACUGUACAGUCCUGGCGAGUCUGGAACUCGCAGAGAUGCACUCACUAUUCGUUGUCUCCAAAGUGCCAGGAAUAAAGGUGUGCACCACCACACCCAGCCUAAACCUGUUUUCUUAAGAAGAAAAAGCCAGAUGAGUAAGACUGCUUUUAAUUUAACAUGGUGGGUUAGUCAGGUGCCUUAGUCAGGGUUUCUAUUCCUGCACAAACAUCAUGACCAAGAAGCAAGUUGGGGAGGAAAGGGUUUAUUCAGCUUACACUUCCAUACUGCUGUUCAUCACCAAAGGAAGUCAGGACUGGAACUCUAGCAGGUCAGAAAGCAGGAGCUGAUGCAGAGGCCAUGGAGGGAUGUUCUUUACUGGCUUGCCUCAACUGGCUUGCUCAGCCUGUUCUCUUAUAGAACCUAAGACUACCAGCCCAGAGAUGGCACCACCCACAAGGGCCCUUUCCCCCUUGAUCACUAAUUAAGAAAAUGCCUUACAGCUGGAUCUCAUGGAGGCAUUUCCUCAACUGAAGCUCCUUUUUCUGUGAUAACUCCAGCCUGUGUCAAGUUGACACAAAACUAGCCAGUACAGUCAGGAUUCUCUAGUUGGUCAGGGCCAAUACCACAUAUAUAUCAUCGACACUUAUUAGAUCAGUGUACAUCCAACAAUAGCUGUCUUCACAUAGGAGAGGCUAACAACUGUGUAAUGCUUCUGUUCCCAAGGCAGGAGGCCUCCAUAGCAUGAAUAGAGGAGAAUUCUUAAUUAUUCCUGGCUGGUCUAUAGACUGGACCAGCUUGAAACAGAGAUCUGCCAGCCUCUGCCACUGCUGCCCCUGCCCCAAGCCCUCACCCCUUGGCCCCUUCGGCCUCCUCUGUACCUGCCCUGCCCCUUGAAUGCUGGGAAUACAAGAAGAUGCCACCAGGCACAGCAAAAACCCUAACAAUAACAACAAAAGAACCUUUGUGACAACUGAUAAGUGCCUUCUACAGAAGCAUGAAGACCUGAGUUCAGACCCAGAACUCAGGUAAAAACUCAGGGGAGGCUCCCAGCUACCUGUAACUCCAGCUCCGGAGGAUCCUACACCCUCUUCUGGCCCCUAUGGGCACCUGCACACACAUGACACACAUGUACACAUACGAAUUUAAAGGGGGGUGGGGCAGGCUGGAGAGAUAGUUUGGUGGUUAAGAACAUGCAUGGGGGGGUGUUU
rnacentral:lncRNA from 1 species